GUGACGGAGCCCCUUGCCAGCCCAACCUCCCACAACUUGGGGCUCCCUUCUGUCUCCAAAGACACCCUGGGUGGCUCUCAGCCUAGAAACACAUCUCCUCUCCGAUCUGAUUCUUCUCAGGGUGAAUCCAAACCCUGUGUUGGACGCCCACGUGGGUCCCUCCAGCUCCAGCCCCAGUUUAGCCAAUGCAUGCCCUGAGCUACCAUCCCUAACCUAGCUCGCACCGGUUCCACGGCCGGCCACUGACCUCCGUUAUGUAAAACCUUCCGUGAUUUGCCUUCGCUGGAGAACACCGCCCUAACUGCUAAGCCCAGAGUUCCACAGGCUGCUGCGGGAUUGUCUAAUGGCACUAACCUGUCACUUCCUCCCCUUGUGACCUUGGGAAUGUGUCAGAGGCAACCUGGUAUGGAAGAAAGAGAAAUUGAGUCCUGGGUUCAAAUUCUAAUUCUGCCUUAUGCAGACCUUGGUGACCACCCAUGGGAAGACUCGCACUGGCUAUGACCUGGUCACCAAAAGAAUCACAGUGAACAAAGCUCAGGACCAUAAGCAUCAAGCUGGCGAGGACCCAUCUCUUCACCCACGUGUCUCCGGUGCCCAGCAGAGUACAGGGGCAAAUAAGCCUCUCGGUCAGUAUUUUGUGGAAUGACCAACUGGAUGUUUCUAUCCACUACACCAAAUUUCUCUUCCCACUACCAACUUUUCACUGUCUCAUGUCAGAAUCUGUCUGGGGGAGCAGCUAAC